rnacentral:rRNA from 1 species
CAGUAGCCACGGUAAUACGGAGGGUGCAAGCGUUAAUCGGAAUUACUGGGCGUAAAGCGCACGCAGGCGGUCUGACAAGUCAGAUGUGAAAUCCCCGGGCUUAACCUGGGAACUGCAUUUGAAACUGUCAGGCUGGAGUCUUGUAGAGGGGGGUGGAAUUCCAGGUGUAGCGGUGAAAUGCGUAGAGAUCUGGAGGAAUACCGGUGGCGAAGGCGGCCCCCUGGACAAAGACUGACGCUCAGGUGCGAAAGCGUGGGGAGCAAACAGGAUUAGAUACCCGUGUAGUCCCUGUCUCUUAUAA